GUAAGACCUAAUCCUUAUCAGGGCUGCUUUGUGCUCUCUACAUCCUCCCAGCUCCCACAGUCUUUCUCUCUUUUUCAACCAUCAAAUGUAAUCACGAUACAGAAGUAAUGAGGUAGAGGAGAAAACGAAUGUUGUGGAGGAAUGGAGGAGGAGAAGGCUCAUCAAUUAUCAAAGCUUCACUCACUCCACUGGAUUUGCAUUUUAAUAACCAAUUGCAGUAUGAACAUUUCCACCAUGAUCUGCCUUCUUCUCUUCAAGGUUAAUGCUUUACAUCUACCCUGUAGAUCCGAAUUUGUUUGACAUAAGGCGACAAAUUCGGUUCUAGAGAGGUUUGUGUGGUGCAUAUACAAUACGACUAAACAACCAUCAACCUCUACCAACUACUACCGCAACUUCAAUUGAAGAUCCUCCUCCAAAAUUCUAUAAUAUAAUCUACUAUAGUUUGUAAGUAAAAUAAAUAGUGUAAGAUACUUGAAUUAAUUAUUUAUCAGAAACUGUAUCAUUUGAAUGAAAUUAGAUUACUUGAAUUGAUUGAUCAAUAUCAAUCUAACCAUCAAGAUCUAGUUUCAAAUUCAUCAUAUUUUCAGUACCUGUUCAACUGAAUAUGAGUCCCCUCGCAUAGUAAUAAGGUAUAAUAUAAUUUGAUAUAGAUGUAAGUAGAAUAGAUAAGUAAGAUACUCUAAUUAAUUAUUCAUUUAGAAACGUAUCUUUCAAAUAAAAUUGGUUCUCUCAAACUGCUUGAACGGUAGCUAAUGUGUAGAAUAUGGAUAUGACCACAAUUGAUGAGUUAUAGUAGGCCUAGCAGUUAUCUUUUAAAAAAGAAACCUUGCAUUGAAAGCUUUAAUUAUUGUAAAAUUAAUUUUUAUUUAAUUGAUAAUUUUUUUAAAAAUUGUAACAAAAGGGAACGAUGUAAUCUUUUUUUGGAAUAGAAGUAUUAUGCUACUGAUAUUUCUGUUAAUUACAUUAUUUCUUGUAUACUACUUGUAUCUUUGUUUUGAAUGAUGAGGAAAAUUUAUUAUUGAAUAUUAAUGAAGAUGUAUGGUCCUACUCUGCCUCAGAUGAGCAAUAGUUUUCCAGUAGUUAACUUUCAAUAGUUUUUUGCACUAGUAAAUGCCACCUUCACUUAAUUAUCCUAUAUUUCUCUUAUUGCAGUUACCUUUUUAUUUUACUUCCAAACCUCAAAUAUAUUUUCUCAGAUUCAUUCUCUGUCUUCUACUCUCUGAUUUUUAAUUUAUUUUUCUGACCACAAAUAUAAUAAUAUUGUAAUAUUUAUCUUCUAAGCCACAUAAUGGAAUUCAUCAUUCAGUAAUUAGGCUACUUAUAUUCAAGUGCAUCAAAUUUAAACUUUUGAAUUUACUUUUCCUUUUUAUUUAUACUAUGUUUAUUUAUAUUUCCUUUCAUAUGUAUAUUCUUUCUUGUUUCAUCUAUUCAUAUCUUCAUUGAAAUUUUUAUAUUGAAAAUUAAUAUCGAUACUCGCUGCCAGCACUCAAACUUCGGUUUUGCAGGCAGCGCCAAACAUGUUAUUUUAUUUUGACAAAGUUGUUUUUCGUGUAUAUUCAAAUAUUGAUCAAUAUGUUUUUUCAACUUUGUAUUGAGGAUUAUUAUUUUUGUUGUGGCGAAAUAAAAUUUGAAUUGAAUUGAAUUUUUCAGUAGUAGAUAGGCUUUCAAGAGUAGGUAACUUAUAGUAAGGUGUGUUGAGGUUAAGGUGUGUUGUGACUCAAAAUUUAUGCCCUCCAAGGGAGUAAUACAGUAAUUGUUCAUUCAAAAUCAAAUAUUUAUUUCUGACAUUACUAAUGAAUAUAAUAAAUAUGCGAAUAUUUCUACAGAAAUCUCAUUAGUAUAUCGUAACAUUUAUCUAAACUCAUUGAAUAUUGUAUUGCAUUGAAUAGAUAAAAUUGAUGAUAUUUUUUCAAUACAUACGGUAUGCAUUUUUGUAAGAAUACGGUACUUGUUUUGUAUGAACUUGUUUAUCAGUUAUAAUUAUUUUAUGAAAAUAAUCCUUUUGGACCAACAUUGUAUCAAUCAAUCAAACACAAUAUUUUAUUGUAUUAUAAUAGUAUUAAUAGGAUUCCGUAUUGUAUCCACAUCAGACACUAUACCAAUACUAGAAAUGUUUUUCAUAAGGCUAGUACAAUGCUGCUGAAACUCAGCAAUAAGAGAUUUCUUGCAUUUAAAAUGUUCCAAUAUUACAUAACAAUAGGCUUAUUAGAGAAAAAAUAUGGCCUAGUGGUUGAUAGAGUAUUUUGUUGAAAAUUAUUACAUGAAUUCACGUUGUGUAUUCAAGUGAGUUUUUCUGGAAACUACUUAACAAUAUUAUAAUGAUUUUAUUAUUAACAAAUUUAUUAUAUUUUUUUAUCUAGGAGGUAGAUAGCCUAAUCUUAUUAUUGAAUGUCAAGAAGUAAUGAAUAAAUUUGAAUGUGUACCAAGAAUACCAAUUCCAAAAAAAUAUUUUUAUCUAAGGAAUGAAUAUAUAUCGAUCAGAUUAUUGAAAAAUCUGGCUACAUCAUCUUCUAAGAGUACCGUAUAUAUAACAUUAAAGUCACGAAAGAAUAAAUCCCUCAAAAGGAUAACACAAUAAAAUUGUAUUUCGCUAUAAUUAUAAUUUUUAUGGCGCUCAUUUUACAUGUAUUCCACUCAUGAAAAGAUGAAAAUCCUCCAUCAGUGAAAGUAUUAUCCACAAUAAGUGAGUGAAUAAAUUAUAUUCACAGUAGAAUGCAUACCAUUCUCUAUGACAUAUGCUCUGGUUCUGUAGCUUGGUAAUAAUAUUUCGUGUUUGUUAAUUAUUGUUUUCCAUAGCUUAAAUAAUUAGAAUAUUGUACUUGACACCACUGGUCUAUAUUUAAUCCAAGUUAUAGACUACUGAAUCUGAGCAUAUCUUAUUUUGAAAUUGCAAGCUCCUUUUCUGCUUCUAUAAUUCGAAGAAAUCAAUAACAAUUCCCAUUGAAAAAUUAUUACAUUCAAUUUAUUUCACUCAAGCAUUCCUGUGUCUUAAAAUAUUAUAAUGAGUAUAAAUAUUAUAGCCAUAUAUUACAAUAAGAAUAUAAAUGCUAAUUGUUGCUAAGUACAUUGUAGUAAUCCUGUAUGAUAUUAUAUUUAGAUUCUAAAACUAAUAAAAUUCAUUUCAGUUUUACUGACCAUGUAGGAUAUGAAAAUCAUUUUUGAAUAAUGUAUUCUCCUCACUUCAAAUAAACCAUGUUUUUUAUAGAGCACAUUUCGACAUUUUAAAGCUCUAUUAUGCAAGAGCAAUUUUAAUAUUAUAUCCAACUUUUUGUGAACAUAACACUUGUAGUCACCUAUUUUUUAUUGUCCAUGGAAUAAUAGUCAAUUAAUAAACUGUCCAAAAAUUAAAAUCGUUCCAUCGAAACAAUACCAAUAGAUUUGUAGGUAGUUCGAAUUUGUUUAAAAUUCAUCCAUUCGAAUAAUUUAGGCUAUUAACAUACUGUUAGCAUAGAGAAAGAAUAUCGUAAGUUGUAUCAGUUGUCUCAGCUAUUAGGCUAAGGGCGGAAAGUCCGAGCAACACUUAUAAAAUUAAAUGAAAAAAUGAUUUUUUUGGCGGAGUCAGGACUUUUAAGAGUACUCUCUAGCACUCAACCUCGAAAUGAGGUGAAUGAUCCCAGGAAUCUAUACACAGCACGGACCACACCUAUCAUGCAGCUUCCCGAUCCCACUCCGAUCCGAUCAGAUAUGAUCAGUGAU